UACGGAGGGUGCAAGCGUUGCUCGGAAUUAUUGGGCGUAAAGGGUAGGUAGGUGGUCUCAUUUGUCAGGGGUGAAAGCCUUGGGCUUAACUCAAGAACUGCCUUUGAUACUGAAGAUCUUGAGUUCGGGAGAGGUGAGUGGAACUGCGAGUGUAGAGGUGAAAUUCGUAGAUAUUCGCAAGAACACCAGUGGCGAAGGCGGCUCACUGGCCCGAUACUGACGCUGAGGCACGAAAGCGUGGGGAGCAAACAGG
rnacentral:rRNA from 1 species